UAGACCGAUAGCGAACAAGUAGAGUGAUCGAAAGAUGAAAAGCACUUUGGAAAGAGAGUUAAAAAGCACGUGAAAUUGUUGAAAGGGAAGGGAUUGCAACCAGACUUGCUCGCGGUGUUCCGCCGGUCUUCUGACCGGUUCACUCGCCGCGUUGCAGGCCAGCAUCGUCUGGUGCCGCUGGAUAAGACUGGAGGAAUGUAGCUCCCUCGGGAGUGUUAUAGCCUCUAGUGAUGCAGCGAGCGCCGGGCGAGGUCCGCGCUUCGGCUAGGAUGCUGGCGUAAUGGUCGUAAUCCGCCCGUCUUGAAACACGACCAAGA
rnacentral:rRNA from 1 species